AAUCCAAUUAGUCAAUGAUUAAAUAAAAAUUACUAAAUACAAACGAAGUAUUACAGUAACCAAACUCAAAAAUUUUCUCCAAAUCAAGGCCUUAAUGUCGCCGUAGUACUCUCGUCGUUUGCGCCUUGGCUUUGUGCGAGGAGCCAUGUGCGGUCGCUGUUCCCCUACCGUAGCCGCAUCCAGCCAAAUCGAGCCGUCACCUCCGACUCCGAGCACCCCACGACGAACCCCCUCUGUGACCCUCGUGCGCGUGCCAGGGUCACCACCGAGCUGCCUUGCCUUAACUCGCCCCGCUGCCAUGCGUUUCGCGUCAUGACCCAGUUAAACGUUGCGCCCUCCGCUCUUCAAAUUCGCUCGAUUCGCAGCAUCGCAGUCCAAUUCCUUGCACCCACAAGCUCGCCUUGAUCCUAUUGUGUCGGUGCUCGCCCUAAUUCCAGUGUUCGUCUCGCUGGAGGGGUGCGAAUGCGGCCGUGCCACCCGCGGAGCACCGCCGACUCUUCGGGCCGCGCGUGGUCGGGUCGCUGUGGUUCUUCACGACCUCAUCCAUUGCCACGGCGCGACUCGCAGUGACAGGUGCUGUGAGCUAACACUUGUGUGUGCGGGUUCCUCCUGGUGGGCUCAGCGAGGAUCUCCUUUGCGAUACGGGUUUAGAAUUUAUUUCUUAUCAACCUUCACCAAAAAUGUUUUACAAAAUAAAGAACUUACACUCUAAUAUUAUCUCAUGCAAAUAAAUGAUCAUCUUGUUGAUACUUAAAUUGCCAUUAAAUGAAUUAUUAUUUCCACUCAUGUAAUACUCUGAUAUUGUAAUACAAAUGAUGUAAGAAAUGGCUAAGAAUGUUGUAAGACUGUUCUCUCA